UGAGCCGUCGUCCAAUGGCAGGACUCUGGUUUUUGGUGCCAGCUAUCCAGGUUCGAGUCCUGGCGGCUCAGCCA
rnacentral:tRNA from 1 species